GUACGGCAUAAGACAACGAAAGACCCACUAAACCAGAAUUAGGAUUUCCACGGACUGCGGAGAGAACUCCAAAAAAUGCAGAUGAAAAUACCACCAAAGCGCCUAUUGCUUCAACACGAAUUGCCUGCCAUCUAUUUGAACUGAAGUACAAGAACCAAAUUCGGUGAUUGGUAUCAACACGAAUAUCGUUCUCCGAGAUAAAUGUAUCUUCCAUGUCAUAAGCACGAAUAGUUGACAACCCACCCAAAGACUCUUGGAAAUGAGCAUAUAAAGGACUGCGAGUAACGCUAUCAAGCCUUUUUAGCUCUCGAGAAGUUUGAGUAUAAUAAACUUGAUUGUAACGAUACAGAAAGAAUAAUGGAACAAUUAGGAUCAUAAACAUAGGAGAAGAAUAGCAAAUAACUGCUAGUACGAAAACUAUUUGAAAGAGAUUUCUGAAGAAAAACAUAAAAACUCUAGAAAUAACUUCGUCCACACGGUAAACAUCGCUGGAAAAUCGGUUUAAUAUUCGACCAGUUGGCGUGGUUUCAAAAAAGCUCAUGGGAGCACGCAAAACCGCCUUUACCAUUGAAUCAUGUAGAUAACGACAGCUUUUAA